rnacentral:rRNA from 1 species
UACGAAGGGUGCAAGCGUUACUCGGAAUUACUGGGCGUAAAGCGUGCGUAGGUGGUUUGUUAAGUCUGCUGUGAAAGCCCCGGGCUCAACCUGGGAAUGGCAGUGGAUACUGGCAAGCUAGAGUGCGGUAGAGGGGUGUGGAAUUCCCGGUGUAGCGGUGAAAUGCGUAGAGAUCGGGAGAAACACCAGUGGCGAAGGCGGCACCCUGGACCAGCACUGACACUGAGGCACGAAAGCGUGGGGAGCAAACAGG